UGAUUUGCAAGGUUUCGUCUACUGCGCAUCGUCUGCGUAGCAGUCAUUUCCAGGUAUACCUUGGUUUUCCUUUGAUUCUCAUUAGUUCGGUUACCCACGGGACCAGUGACCUCGUUAUCUCAAACCAAGGACCGGCGACUACUGUGAGACACAAUGGCGCCAAACAAUAUCCCCGAAGACCUGGGAAAAAUAUUCAGCGUGAUAGACGAGAGCAAGGAUGCCAUGCUACAAUCGCUCAAGGAACUCGUGGCCAUUCCCAGCGUGUCUGCAGAAAGUGCUCGCCGUGGUGAUAUUGUGAAAGCCUUGCACAUGGUCAAAGAGGCAAGCGUUUAAUGCAUGACCCAGAGAAAAACAGUUCCAUGGCCACUUAACGUGUAGCAGGAUUCGUGUACAUUUAAUGUAUUGGCGAUAGCAUAUAGAGGAACACUAUUGGUAGUU